CCUAUAGAUAACGUAAUUUGGACUGCAGGCUGCUUGGGAUUUUGGUGUCCUUGCGUUGUUGCUGGGCGUGUUGCAGAGAUUGUCUCCAAAGGACAUACCAGUUGUUUUCAGCAUGGAUGUUUGUAUGCACUAAUCAAUUCCUAUACUCACUUAGCAUUCGGCAUUCCUUGUGGUUUCUGCAUUACUUGCGGCUUUCGAACCAAACUGGGGGAGCAGUACAAGUUGGAGGAAAAACCUUGCAACGAUUGCUGCGUUCAAUUCUUCUGUCACUCCUGUGCCUUGUGCCAAGAAUACCGUGAGCUCGAGAACCGUGGUUUCAAUGUUGCCAUUGGUACGUACAUUCGUUGUUCCCUCCCUCCAAUACAAUUACUUAGAUUCACCGUCUCGGUGCACCUCCUUAUCCACCCUAGUUAGAUUAGAUCAACCGAUACGUGUUAUACACGUGUAAUUAUCUUUUAAAAGAAUUAAACUAUUAAUUCAAGAUCAUUCCUAAUUAACUAGUUAAUUUCAAUGAAUGUUAGGCUGGGAAUGAAAUGCGUCACAGAAUCCUGGAGUGGUGACAACACCAGCCGUGCAGGGUGGCAUGAAUCGUCAGACUGAUCACAAAUAGUAAUAGUGUUGGCUUGAUGCUUCAUACCAUCUGGAAUAAAAGAAUUAGCUUUCGUUUUUGUUUGCCGUCUCUUGAAUAAACUUAUUUUGGCUUUGGAGAGUCAUCUUAGUCUGUUGAGUUUGGGUGUGAAUAAUUUAAAGACUUUAUGUGUUCAUUUGCUUAUUUGUGGGCUUGUCUCACCAUGGUAUUCAAUCAAGUUGACUUUUUAUGUUUUGUUCAAGUCUCUUUAGAUUGUGGACUCUCUUUUAUCAAAUAUUGUUUUAAUGUUUGUAUCAGUUCUUAAUGUUAUAAUAAAAUCACUAUUGUUUCG